GAUGAAGAACGUAGCGAAAUGCGAUAUGUAAUGUGAAUUGCAGAAUUCAGUGAAUCAUCGAAUCUUUGAACGCACAUUGCGCCCCCCAGUAUUCUGGCGGGCAUGCCUGUUCGAGCGUCAUUUCAACCAUCAAGCCCUGCUUGUGUUGGGGUCCUGCGGCUGCCCGCAGGCCCUGAAAACCAGUGGCGGGCUCGCUAGUCACACCGAGCGCAGUAGCACAUCUCGCUCAGGGCGUGCGGCGGGCUCCAGCCGUUAAAGCACCCACCUUUCGCAAGGUUGACCUCGGAUCAGGUAGGAAUACCCGCUGAACUUAAGCAUAUCAAUAAGCGGAGGA
rnacentral:misc_RNA from 1 species